UCUAUUAUGGCAGAUUAGUGCAAUGGACUUAAACCCCAUUUAUAAAGUAAAUACUUUUUUUAGAA